UCAGAACGAACGCUGGCGGCAGGCUUAACACAUGCAAGUCGAGCGCCUCGCAAGAGGAGCGGCAGACGGGUGAGUAACGCGUGGGAAUCUACCCAUCUCUACGGAACAACUCCGGGAAACUGGAGCUAAUACCGUAUACGUCCUUCGGGAGAAAGAUUUAUCGGAGAUGGAUGAGCCCGCGUUGGAUUAGCUAGUUGGUGGGGUAAUGGCCUACCAAGGCGACGAUCCAUAGCUGGUCUGAGAGGAUGAUCAGCCACWUUGGGACUGAGACACGGCCCAAACUCCUACGGGAGGCAGCWGUGGGGAAUAUUGGACKAAUGGGCGAAAGCCUGAUCCAGCCAUGCCGCGUGAGUGAUGAAGGCCCUAGGGUUGUAAAGCUCU
rnacentral:rRNA from 1 species